rnacentral:lncRNA from 1 species
CUAAAUUCAAACCAGGUCUUCCUAGUCAUUAUAAAGGUAUAUUUACCAAGGUAAGAGGUUAUGCCCAGUUGGUGUGCAAAUGUACAUUUUUUUCUUUUCCCCAGAGUUUGCAAAUGAUUAUAGAUGGCCUCAGAGAAAGGAUAUGUCGUCUGUAUGUCAAGUAAUCAGAUUGUAAAAGAGAAGUUUUAUGCAAGAAAAUGAAUGAAUGAGAUCUCCCAGGAAAGGUGUGUAAAGUGGAAAGAGAAGAACUCUAGGACACAUUUCCCAAUUAACAGUAAAGUAAUGGCAGAGCAUUGAAAAUCAAAGAGAAGUCUGCCGAGGAUCCCCAGAGGGAGUGACUUGAGAGUCAGAACAGUAUUCUGCCUCAGCACGAAAGCCAAAACAGGAGAGUCAAUUUUGAUAAUGCUACUAAAAGGUUUGGUAAGGUUUAUAUCAAAAGUGUCUACUUAAUUGAACAACAGGACAGAUACAGAGACCUUAGCAAAAACAGUCUUAGAGGAGUGUUAGGGCUGGUGCAAGACUAGGAUACUUAAGGGAGUGAAUAGGAAGUAAAGAAGUGAAGAGACCAAGAGUAGUAUGUUAUUUCAAUUAAUUUAGCUGGGAAUUAAGAGGCAAAAGAUUGGAUUCGAUGAAAGUAGACAUGGGGUGUAUCAGCUAUUGCUGUAUAACAAAUGGCUUCAAAACUCAGUGGUUUAAAACAAUCAGCAUUUAUUAUCACUCAAAUAUCUACGAAUGAGUUGGUUGUUUCUGUCAGUCUGAGCCUGGCUGUGCUCACUCGUGCAUUUGGAGUCGGCUUAGAACUGGCUAAUCUAGGAUGAGCCUACUCAGAGUUUUGGAAGUUGAUUUUUUUAUUGGCUUGGGUGUUUCAGGUAACUGGGCCAUGUUUCUCUCAUAAUCCAGCAUGCUAGUUCACAAGGCAAUGGCAGGGUUCUAAGAAAGAGCAGAAGUCUGCAAUAUCUCUUGAGGCCUCAUCAUGAAUUGGCAUAUCACCCUGUCACAGCCUGCUGGCCAAAGCAAGUCACAAAGUCAGCCAAAAUUCAGCUUAAAGAGAAGGGGAUUGACCUCUUGGUAGGAGAAACUACACAGUCUCACUGUAAAGCACAUAAGUAGAUGUAAAGAAUAAGGAAAGUCCUAGCUAGAGCAGUCAGGCAAGAGAAGGAAGUAAAAGGCAUCCAAAUAAGAAAAGAAGAGGUCAAAUUAUCUUUCUUCACUGAGAUAUGAUACCUAGAAACCCCUAAAGACUCCACCAAAAGGCUCUUAGACCUGAUAAACAUCUUCAGUAAAGUUUCAGGAUACAAAAUAAAUGUGUAAAAAUCAGUAGCGGUUCUAUACACCAAUAAUAUUCAAGCUGAGAGCCAAAUCAAGAACACAAUCCUAUUUACAAUAGCUACAAAGAAUAAAAUACCUAGGAAUACAUCUAACAAAGGAGCAGAAAGAUCUUUACAAGGAGAACGACAAAACAGUGCUGACAGAAAGCAGAGAUGACACAAAGAAAUGGAAAAAUAUUCCAUGCUAAUGGAUUAAAAGAAUUAAUAUUGCUAAAACGACCAUACUGCCCAGAGCUAUCUACAGAUUGCCGCCAAACUACCAACAUCAUUUUUCACAUAAUUAGAAAAAACUAAUUCAUAUGAAACAAACAAACAAAAAGAGAGCCUGAAUAGCCAUAGCAAUCCUAAGCAAGAAGAGCAAAGCUGGAGGCAUCACAUUACCAGACUUGAAACUACUAUAAGGCUACAGUAACCUAAAUAGCAUUGUACUCGUACAAAAACAGAUACAUAGACCAAUGGAACAGAGUAGAGAAUCUAGAAAUAAAGCCACACACCUACAACCAUCUGAUCUUCAACAAAAUCAACAAAAAUAAGCCAUGGGGAAAGGACUCCAUAUUCAAUAAAUGGUGCUUGAAUAAUGCCAGUUCUUCUGGUGCUAGCCAGAAGAAUAAAACUGAAGAAUAUGCAGAAGAAUAAAACUGGACCCUUACCUUUCACCAUAUAUAAAAAUUAACUCAAGAUAGAUUUAAAUGUAAGACCUCAAACUAUAAAAAUCCUAGAAGAAAACUGAGGAAAGACCAUUCUGGACAUUGGCCUUGGCAAAGAAUUUAUGACUAAGUCCUCAAAAGCAAUUGCAACAAAAAUGAAAAUUGACAAUGGGACCUAAUUAAAGAGCUUCUGCCCAUCAAAAUAAACCAUUAACAGAGUAAACAGAAACCUACAGAAUGGGAGAAAAUACUUGCAAACUAUGUAUCUAACAAAGUUCUAAUAUCCAGAAUCUAUAAGGAACUUAAAAAGCAAAAAACAAGUUAAAAAAUGGGCAAAGGAAAUGAACAGACACUUCUCAAAAGAAGGCAUACAUGUGGUCAACAAACAUUUGAAAAAAUGCUCAACAUCACUGAUCAUCAGAGAAAUGCAAAUCAAAACUUUAAUGAGAUACCAUCUCACACAAGUCAGAAUAGCUAUUAUUAAAAUGACAAAAAACAACAGAUGCUGGUGAAGCUAUGAAGAAAAGGAAUGCUUAUACACUGCUGGUGGAAAUGUAAAUCAGUUCAACCACUGUGAUUUCUCAAGGAACUAAAACAGAACUACCAUUUGACUCAGCAAUUCCAUUCUCAAGGAAUUAAAACAGAACUACCAUUUGACUCAGCAGUUCCAUUAUUAGAUAUAUAUCCAAAGGUAAAUAAAUCACUGUAUAAAAAAGACACAUGCACUCGUAUGUUCAUUGCAGCACUAUUCACAAUAGCAAAGACAUGGAAUCGAUUAGGUGUCCAUCUACAGUGGACUGGAUAAAGAAAAUGUGAUACAUUAUACCACAGAAUACAAUGAAGCCAUAAAAAGAACAAAAUCAUGUCCUUGGCAGAAGCAUGUCAUGUCCUUGGCAGAAGCAUGGAUGUAGCUAGAGGCCAUCACCCUAAGCAAAUUAAUAUAGGAACAGAAAACCAAAUACCGCAUGUUCUUCCUUGGAAAUGGGAGCUAAACAUUGGGUACAUAUGGACAUAAAGAUGGGAACAAUAGACACUGGGGACUCCUAGCAUGGGUGGGGAGGGGCCGAGGGGUAAGAUACUACCUAUUGGGUACUAUGCUCACUACCUGAGUGACAGAAUCAUUCAUAUGUGAAACCUCGGCAUC